AAUUUGCUGCGGGCAGAUGAAAUGUAUAUGCGAGUCAAAGCCGCCGGCGGUAACAAUGUGCCCCUCAGCAGCGAUCACUUCGGUGCCGGCACCGAUCACCAUUUCCGGAGCGAUACCGGACUGGAUCAACGGAUUGCCGGCAUGACCAAUGCCCGCAAUGCGCCCUUCUUUGACGCCGAUGUCGGCCUUGAUGAUACCGAGGAUCGGGUCAAUGAUUGUCGCGUUGGUCAGGACUAAAUCUAGGCAGUCCUUGCCCGUUGCCAGUGGCGACUGGCCCAUGCCGUCGCG
rnacentral:sRNA from 1 species